AAUGGAUCCUUGGCUCAAGUACACUGGGAUUUGGGGACCCAUGUCAUACUCACUUUAUCCACAGAGAGAUUCAUUUUGGGAGUUGACAGACUUCAGACAUGAUUGCUUUCAUCUUUCAGAGCGAAGAGCCCUCAUCUUUCUGAUCCAUCCUCAAAUUAGAGCUUCUCAUUCACUCCUUCCUUGAGUCUGGCUGCUCUUCUCUGGCUCAGCACAUUUGUGUUUUUCUUGAGAGACAGUGACCAGCACUAUCCUCAGUAUCCCAGGAACGGAUAUACUACAGCUUCAGGUCAGGGUGAAUAUGUACGAAAUGACGAUCCAUUCCUGCGUGGAAGGCCAGCGCUCCAUCUUCACUAACACGAUAUAGUUGAAGAGCAUCAAGUAUCCGAUGUAUGCCAGCUGUAAGGAAACACAAUACAGGGUUCUGGCUACGGAGACCCGGGAGCCCGGCCCUUGGGCAAGGCCGCUGCAUGGCAGAACAGAGCAAGCUGGGCACUUGAAAUGACUCUCAUCACAGACCAGAUCUGCGAGCCAGCUGGAUCCCUGCCUCCUUUCUUCUUGGAACAGAAGAGGACCCAACCUGGCCUUCUGGAAACUUGCUAAGAUAUGGAAGUUAACUUAUGUGGAAAUGAGGUGUGUUCCCUCUUUCAGAAACUUGGGAGUGUACACAGAAGGAGAUAUUUUUGGAAACCAGAGUGGGAAAUACUCUUAUAGGAAGGAACACAUCCGAAAGCAAAUGGGAGGUUUGAUCUAAAGCGAAUUUUACUGUUAAGCAUCUCUGGGGAGGGGACUUAAAAAUCUGGCAUUCCUCAUCUCCAUGCACUUCCUCGAGGCUUAGGCUUUGUAAACACACAGCUAUCGAUUUCUGGAAGUCAUUAUGUAAACACUAACAACAUGACUGUAGUGUCCAGUCCAAUGGGUUUGCUGAGUCUACUGUCAGCCGCGCAGAAGAGAGCCGGACACACAGGCUCCACUUCUCGGAGGCAUCUGAUACAAGGAGAGCAGUGUGUCCCAAGCUUCCUGGACUAUAAGACUCACUUGGGGAGCUUGUUAAACAUAUAGCCUCUUCAGCAACUCCUUGGAUAUUAGAUUUCAUGGGUCUGUGAUAGGGCCACGAUGUGCAUUUCUAACAAAAUUCUUUAUCAUCCAAGAAGUUUUGGAAAAAAAUACUGGGCCUUCUGUCUGGGGCAGUGGUUCUUAACCCUGGCUACUCAUUACAAACACCUGGGUCCUUUGAAAUAGUCUGAAGCUUUGGUUGUGCCCAGACCAAUGAUGUCAGAAUCUCUGAGAAUAGAGAACCCAGGUACCUUAAUUUUUUUUUUAAUAGAUAAAUAGGUGGAUUAAAUAGAACCCAGGUGUUGUUGUUUUUUAAAGCACUCCAGGCGAUCCCAAUAUGUAGUCAAGACUGAAAACCACUGUCCAAGGCAUUUGUGACUUAAAAGUCUCUUGGCCAACAAAUUGUCACAGCUGAAUAAAUGGGGACUAAGGGAAUCAAGGAAAUAAAGUUAAUGCUGAACAAUGAUCAAGAAAAGAGAGAGAGAGAGAGAGAGAGAUGUCUUAGAUAGGACAAAUGAGUCUUGUAUUUGUAAAGGUGAUAGGUAAUUCUUUAUACUAUUAUUUCUAUUAGUUCUUUUAUGCUCUAGAUCAGGAGUUAGCAAAUUUCUUCUGUAAAGGACCACAGAGUUCAUUUUUAAGGCUUUCAGAGCCUGACAGUCUUUCUAUAGCAAGUAAUUGACUCAACAGUUGUUAGUACAAAAGCAGUCAGAUUAUUGGUAAACGAAUGAGUUUGGUUGUGUUCCAAUAAAACUUGAUUUAUGGACA